rnacentral:rRNA from 1 species
GGAGGAUGCGAGCGUUAUCCGGAUUCAUUGGGUUUAAAGGGUGCGUAGGCGGACUAUUAAGUCAGUGGUGAAAUCCUGCAGCUUAACUGCAGAACUGCCAUUGAUACUGAUAGCCUUGAGUUUGGUUAAGGUAGGCGGAAUGUGUAAUGUAGCGGUGAAAUGCUUAGAUAUUACACAGAACACCAAUUGCGUAGGCAGCUUACUGAGCCGACACUGACGCUGAGGCACGAAAGCGUGGGGAUCGAACAGGAUUAGAUACCCUGGUAGUCCACGCCGUAAACGAUGAUUACUCGCUGUUGGCGAUACACUGUCAGCGGCUAAGCAAAAGCAAUAAGUAAUCCACCUGGGGAGUACGGCCGCAAGGUUGAAACUCAAAGGAAUUGACGGGGGCCCGCACAAGCGGAGGAACAUGUGGUUUAAUUCGAUGAUACGCGAGGAACCUUACCUGGGCUUAAAUGUAGAGUGCAUUUUCUAGAGAUAGGAAUUCCCUUCGGGGCUUUCUGCAAGGUGCUGCAUGGUUGUCGUCAGCUCGUGCCGUGAGGUGUCGGGUUAAGUCCCAUAACGAGCGCAACCCUUAUCGUUAGUUGCCAUCUGGUAAAGCAGGGGACUCUAGCGAAACUGCCACCGUAAGGUGAGAGGAAGGUGGGGAUGACGUCAAAUCAGCACGGCCCUUAUGUCCAGGGCUACACACGUGUUACAAUGGUCGGUACAGAGGGCAGCUACCUGGUGACAGGAUGCUAAUCUCGAAAACCGGUCUCAGUUCGGAUCGAAGUCUGCAACUCGACUUCGUGAAGCUGGAUUCGCUAGUAAUCGCGCAUCAGCCAUGGCGCGGUGAAUACGUUCCCGGGCCUU